GGAAUAUUGGACAAUGGGCGGAAGCCUGAUCCAGCAACGCCGCGUGAGGGAUGACGGCCUUCGGGUUGUAAACCUCUUUCAGCACCGGCGAAGCGCCCGUGAGGGUGGUGACGGUAGGUGCAGAAGAAGGACCGGCCAACUACGUGCCAGCAGCCGCGGUAAUACGUAGGGUCCGAGCGUUGUCCGGAAUUAUUGGGCGUAAAGGGCCCGUAGGCGGUUUGUCGCGUCGGGAGUGAAAACACCGGGCUUAACUCGGUGCUUGCUUUCGAUACGGGCAGACUGGAGGCAUGCAGGGGAGAACGGAAUUCCUGGUGUAGCGGUGAAAUGCGCAGAUAUCAGGAGGAACACCGGUGGCGAAGGCGGUUCUCUGGGCAUGUCCUGACGCUGAGGAGCGAAAGUGUGGGGAGCGG
rnacentral:rRNA from 1 species